GGGAGUGGGAGUAUCUUAUUUGGUUAUCUCUGUCUAUGUAAGAUUGUGUAGGCCUUCCUGAGCAUUUUACAUCAUCUUCCAGACCCAAGAUCCUGAUGGCCACUUUCACAACUACCCUAUGUCACUUUUCAGUACUUUUGAGUUCUUCACCAAGACGAACAGACCUCCCAACAGUGAAAUAGACCUACCCCUUAUGUAUGACAUCAGAUAUUCAACCUUUACUGUUACUGCCACUCUCCUUACGCUCCGCUUGCUCAUUGCUGUGGUGGAUGCCACCCUGUGGAGAGUGGCUCAUGAACAGGGUAAUGUUUGGAGAAUGCAGUUAAGAAAACUCUUCAGAUACAUAAUUCCCUCUUGUGAAUUGUGAAGAAUAUGUUGGAAAGGACAGACUGCUUUCCAGGUUUGGAAGAGACAGAGCUGGGGUCUCAGACACAUAUGCGGCCAAUUCAGUUCAGAAGAGUUGUGGUUUUUCUUCUGGAGGAAGAACAGAACGCUUACGAGCAGAGGACAGUCCAUGAACUGACAUAUUUCUGCUUAUCUAGUCAUCUAGGAGACUGUGCAGCAACUGAUAACACAAAGACAAGGAUGGCAGAUGUCUAGGUGGAUCCCACUGCUUUCCCUCCUGAUUCUCAUUCCUACUUUUUGAGGGUGCUCAUAUAUUGUAGGAGAUCCCAGUUGAUGUCUGUUGGAACAGAAGGAUUACCUUUCCUUCAUGCUUGCAGAGUUGAGGAUUGACAUGAUGACAAAUCACACAAGAUAUACUACAACACAACAGCCCUUGCACCCCAAGUUACAGGGGAAAAAUAGAUGAUGCCCUGAGAAUAUAUAGAGGGACUUCUUACAGAAGACAGUCACCCUU